AGUCGAGCGGCAGCACGGGUACUUGUACCUGGUGGCGAGCGGCGGACGGGUGAGUAAUGCCUAGGAAUCUGCCUAGUAGUGGGGGAUAACGUCCGGAAACGGGCGCUAAUACCGCAUACGUCCUACGGGAGAAAGUGGGGGAUCUUCGGACCUCACGCUAUUAGAUGAGCCUAGGUCGGAUUAGCUAGUUGGUGAGGUAAUGGCUCACCAAGGCGACGAUCCGUAACUGGUCUGAGAGGAUGAUCAGUCACACUGGAACUGAGACACGGUCCAGACUCCUACGGGAGGCAGCAGUGGGGAAUAUUGGACAAUGGGCGAAAGCCUGAUCCAGCCAUGCCGCGUGUGUGAAGAAGGUCUUCGGAUUGUAAAGCACUUUAAGUUGGGAGGAAGGGCAGUUACCUAAUACGUGAUUGUUUUGACGUUACCGACAGAAUAAGCACCGGCUAACUCUGUGCCAGCAGCCGCGGUAAUACAGAGGGUGCAAGCGUUAAUCGGAAUUACUGGGCGUAAAGCGCGCGUAGGUGGUUUGUUAAUUGGAUGUGAAAACCCCGGGCUCAACCUGGGAACUGCAUCCAAAACUGGCAAGCUA
rnacentral:rRNA from 1 species